rnacentral:pre_miRNA from 1 species
AGUAGAAUAGUUGGGUUAUAUGGUAUCUUUUUGAGGAACUGCCGAACUGUUUUCUAUAGUGACUGUAUCAUUUUACAUUCCUAACAGAUUU